rnacentral:rRNA from 1 species
GAUGAACGCUGGCGGCGUGCCUAAUACAUGCAAGUCGAGCGAACGGACGAUAAGCUUGCUUCUCUGAUGUUAGCGGCGGACGGGUGAGUAACACGUGGAUAACCUACCUAUAAUACUGGGAGAACUUCGGGAAACCGGAGCUAAUACCGGAGAAUAUUUUGAACCGCAUGGUUCAAAAGUGAAAGACGGUCUUGCUGUCACUUAUAGAUGGAUCCGCGCUGCAUUAGCUAGUUGGUAAGGUAACGGCUUACCAAGGCAACGAUGCAUAGCCGACCUGAGAGGGUGAUCGGCCACACUGGAACUGAGACACGGUCCAGACUCCUACGGGAGGCAGCAGUAGGGAAUCUUCCGCAAUGGGCGAAAGCCUGACGGAGCAACGCCGCGUGAGUGAUGAAGGUCUUCGGAUCGUAAAACUCUGUUAUUAGGGAAGAACAUAUGUGUAAGUAACUGUGCACAUCUUGACGGUACCUAAUCAGAAAGCCACGGCUAACUACGUG